UCUGCUCCUAGAGGCUUUGCAGGUGUGGCUGCUGUGUCACAUGUGUGUCAGUAGGUGGCAGAGAGGAGAGAGACUAUGUCUCAGUGUUCUGACAUUUGGACAUCUGCAUGAUCAGUGCCCGAACAUU